GCAUUGGUGGUUCACCGGUAGAAUUCUCGCCUUCUAAGCAGGAGAUCCAAGUUUGAUUCCCAGCCAGUGCA
rnacentral:tRNA from 1 species